UACGGAGGGGGCUAGCGUUGUUCGGAAUUACUGGGCGUAAAGCGCACGUAGGCGGCUUUGUAAGUUAGAGGUGAAAGCCCAGGGCUUAACCCUGGAAUUGCCUUUAAGACUGCAUCGCUAGAAUCGUGGAGAGGUGGGUGGAAUUCCGAGUGUAGAGGUGAAAUUCGUAGAUAUUCGGAAGAACACCAGUGGCGAAGGCGACUCACUGGACACGUAUUGACGCUGAGGUGCGAAAGCGUGGGGAGCAAACAGG
rnacentral:rRNA from 1 species